rnacentral:misc_RNA from 1 species
UCCGGUUUGUCACCGGCAGUCUCCUUAGAGUCCCCGGCUUGACCCGAUGGUAACUAAGGACAAGGGUUGCGCUCGUUACGGGACUUAACCCAACAUUUCACAACACGAGCUGACGACAGCCAUGCAGCACCUGUCUCUGCGCUCCUUUCGGCACUCCAGCCUCUCGGCCAGAUUCGCAGGAUGUCAAGGGGUGGUAAGGUUCUUCGCGUUGCAUCGAAUUAAACCACAUGCUCCACCGCUUGUGCGGGCCCCCGUCAAUUCAUUUGAGUUUUAACCUUGCGGCCGUACUCCCCAGGCGGAGAACUUAGCGCGUUAGCUUCGCCACUAAAACCUCUAAGGGUUCCAACAGCUGGUUCUCAUCGUUUACAGCAUGGACUAC